rnacentral:rRNA from 1 species
GACGAACCGUGCGAGCGUUGUUCGGAUUCACUGGGCUUAAAGGGCGCGUAGGCGGUUCAGCAAGUCCGGGGUGAAAGCUUUCGGCUCAACCGGAAAAGGGCCUUGGAUACUGCUGGUCUGGAGGAAGGUAGGGGCGUGUGGAACUUCCGGUGGAGCGGUGAAAUGCGUAGAUAUCGGGAGGAACGCCGGUGGCGAAAGCGACACGCUGGACCUUUUCUGACGCUGAGGCGCGAAAGCCAGGGGAGCAAACGGG